CUGCUUCGGUCACCCGAGCGCUGGGGAUGCCAGGCAUGGGCCACCGCAGCCAUCCUUCAAACAUCAAGGAAGUAACUUUCCCCGCUUAAGACCUCAGGGCCGGCAGAGAAUAAAACUUUGCAGGAAUCAUCAGGUGAAGCCACGCCCACAAUGUUUUGGACCCGAAAGUAAGAAAGCAUUUAACUGGGGCUUGCGUACAGUGUUGGAGUUAGCUCAUGACCACCGUGAUGGGAAGCAGCAGACGUGGCACUGGAGCAGUAGAGAGUGUUGCACGCUAAUCCAUGGGCAGCAGGUUUGCAGCUAGACUGAAUGGAAGUGAAGUUUCCUCAGAUCCAAUAUGGUCACACACAGCCCCUCUGCAGACAUCAUGCACAGAGCAGAGUCUGCGCCAACUGCUUGACCUACACCAACAAGCAACUCUCCCAAGUCCACGGUUUCCACAACCCAGUGGCUUAAUAAUUCUUUGAUGCUGCAUGAUCUGUCCCCAUAAAGGACCGGUAUGGCAGCCUCACAGUCCCAAACCAUCCCCAGCAGCCACUGCUCUUCGCUCCUGUUCCUAUGAUA
rnacentral:lncRNA from 1 species